rnacentral:rRNA from 1 species
AGUGAACGCUGGCGGUAGGCCUAACACAUGCAAGUCGAACGGCAGCACAGUAAGAGCUUGCUCUUACGGGUGGCGAGUGGCGGACGGGUGAGGAAUACAUCGGAAUCUACUUUUUCGUGGGGGAUAACGUAGGGAAACUUACGCUAAUACCGCAUACGACCUACGGGGGAAAGCAGGGGAUCUUCGGACCUUGCGCGAUUGAAUGAGCCGAUGUCGGAUUAGCUAGUUGGCGGGGUAAAGGCCCACCAAGGCGACGAUCCGUAGCUGGUCUGAGGGGAUGAUCAGCCACACUGGAACUGAGACACGGUCCAGACUCCUACGGGAGGCAGCAGUGGGGAAUAUUGGACAAUGGGCGCAAGCCUGAUCCAGCCAUACCGCGUGGGUGAAGAAGGCCUUCGGGUUGUAAAGCCCUUUUGUUGGGAAAGAAAAGCAGCAGGUUAAUACCCCGCUGUUCUGACGGUACCCAAAGAAUAAGCACCGGCUAACUUCGUG